GACCAUGGCUCAGGACGAACGCUGGCGGCGUGCUUAACACAUGCAAGUCGAACGAAGAGAGGGAAAGAGCUUGCUCUUUCCGGAAUUGAGUGGCAAACGGGUGAGUAACACGUAAACAACCUGCCUUCAGGAUGGGGACAACAGACGGAAACGACUGCUAAUACCGAAUAAGUUCCAAGAGCCGCAUGGCCCAUGGAAGAAAAGGUGGCCUCUACCUGUAAGCUAUCGCCUGAAGAGGGGGUUUGCGU
rnacentral:rRNA from 1 species